rnacentral:lncRNA from 12 species
UGAAAUUUGUAUUUAAUUUAAUUUAUUUAUUAUAUGAAAUAUAUGUAUAACGAUCACAGGCUGCCAGGUGCAGUUCAGGUGUCAGAGGCAGAUCAUGAGACACGUUUCAAGACAUAUGAUUUUUGAGGAUGUGUAUACUCUUCCUUCAGAAUCAUUCUCUGACCCGCACAAGACAAGAUGAUCAGAGUUUAUGUCACUGUCACUGCUGCUGUGCUGGGACUCACAGGCUCUGUCUUCAGUACUAAAGUUCAUCAGAGUCAGGGACUGAUAUUACUGGGACAUCUUAUGAUGCAGACUGGACAAAGAGAGGAUGAUUUUAUAGCCAAAGUUGAACUCAAAGGAGAUGCAACUAAAAGUGGUUCUCUAACCAUAAAAGAUCUUUCAGAUAAUGACAGCGCAGUGUACUUCUGUGCAUCCAGUCUACACAGUGAUAUAAACAGUCAAACAUUAAUACAAAAACUCUCUAGUCUGUUACCAGUUUCACUAAAUCAGCUCUUCCUCACCUGUAGAAGGGCUCAGGGUUUGACUUGAUGAACAUUUAAAAAUCUGAGAUCCUGAUGCAAUGCUUAUGCACAAUUAACUCAUAGUUUUCUGCUGCUAUCAACCACUAGAGGACCAAAAGUUGCAUAGUGUAUACUUUUAUGUUGUCAGCGCCCCCAGAUAUGACCUCAUAUCCUAUCAGAAGUGCCUUCCAGCAUUUAAUGCAUAGACUUGUCAUUGAGCAUGUAACACAAACAUGACUCUAUUAAGUGUUUGUGUUUCUCUAGUAUGCCUCACAGCUGCAUGUUUUGGUAAAACUGUUUUCCAGUCACCUGGUGACCUCAUAAAGAACCAAGAUGAAUCUGCUGUAAUCACAUGUACACACAAUAUAGCAGGCUAUGACCGCAUUCUUUGGUACAAAAAAGACAUCAUGGGUUUCAAGUUCAUGGGGUUUCUUAAUCUUAAAUAUGACAACCCCGAGCUGGAAUUUAAAAACAAGAUCAAACUGGAUGGAGAUGGACAGAAAAAUGGUACUCUGAUUAUCAGCAACCUCACGCUGACUGACAGUGCAGUGUAUUUCUGUGCAGCAUAUAACACAGUGCUCAGAAUCAGCUCAGUCUAAUACAAAAACCCUGCUGUGAUAUGAAGCUCACUGAACAUAAUUUUCCACAAACUUACACAUUAGACUAAUAUA